GCUCAUCUGAUGCAUCUUUCUCUUGUUUCUGGUUUUUUGUGCCUGUUGGUUCAUCUUGAAUCAAAUCUAAGAAGUGAUUGAUGGAUCAAUGGGAGAAAAGCAUUAAAUAAAAUAUCAUGAAUGCAACUCCCACUGACAACAGUAGAUGGUAUUUAGGCAGUAGAUAGUGGUAAUAACAUGUACAAUCAAAUGCCAAGCCAAAUGGGAUAUUUCAAUUUAAAAAAUACCUGGUUCCAAAACUGGCUCUACUUGAGGAACUUGAACUGAAUCUUCACCUGCUUCCAAAACUGGCUCUUCUCGAGGAACUUCUUCACCUGGUUCCAAAACUGGCUCAACUCGAGGAACUUGGACUGAGUCUUCUCCUGUUCUCUGUGGUACAUUUUCAUGGUUCUCUACACUUGAUGAUGUUCGGUAAAUGAAUGCUGGAAAAUCAUUGAAUAUAUUUUUUAGUAAAUAUUUAUUCAUUGACCAUCCAAAAUUGUUGACAGGUGGAUUGAUACA